rnacentral:rRNA from 1 species
AUAUUAAUAAGCGGAGGAAAAGAAACUAACAAGGAUUCCCCUAGUAACGGCGAGUGAAGCGGGAAGAGCUCAAAUUUUAAAUCUGAGGGCAUGCGCUCUCCGAGUUGUGAUUUAUAGACACGUUUUCUGUGUUAACGCGAGUAUAAAUCCUUUGGAACAGGGUAUCAUAGAGGGUGAGAAUCCCGUCUUUGACUUGCGAAUUAACACUAUGUGAUACGUGCUCAAAGAGUCGAGUUGUUUGGGAAUGCAGCUCAAACUGGGUGGUAAAUUUCAUCUAAAGCUAAAUAUUAGUGAGAGACCGAUAGCGCACAAGUA